rnacentral:rRNA from 1 species
UACGAAGGGGGCUAGCGUUGCUCGGAAUCACUGGGCGUAAAGCGCGUGUAGGCGGUCCGGUAAGUCUGCUGUGAAAGUCCAGGGCUCAACCCUGGAAGGCCGGUGGAAACUGUCGGGCUAGAGUCCGGAAGAGGCGAGUGGAAUUCCCGGUGUAGCGGUGAAAUGCGCAGAUAUCGGGAAGGAACACCGGUGGCGAAGGCGGGCCUCUGGGCCGUGACUGACGCUGAGGAGCGAAAGCGUGGGUAGCAACAGG